ACAGUAAACUAAAUAAAGCGUGUAUGUAUAAUAUAUCGAUAUACACUUACUCUUACUUGUGAAGACCUUGCAACAUACAGUUGAAGAAUAUAUAUAUAAUAUACACACACUUUGUGUAUUUAAAAGAAAACCAAUAUAUGUGUAACACUGACAGGCUACCUCAUUCACAGGAUAGUAGCGAGUUAAUCAUGACCAUGUGGCAUUGUAUGUGUGAUCAGUAGUAGGGCCUGAAUAGCAAGCAAUUAGUUGUUGGGUUUUUUUUUUUUGUUUUGUUUUUUUACGUGCUAUGACUAACCCCGGAACGCUCAAUACUUCUAAGCUUUCUCUUAAUUACUAUUUCAACAUUUGGAAGGCAGAGUAAGCCUUUACUAGUUUGGAAUGUGUGGUGGGGAUUUAAUUCUCCUACCUUUCAGCCUGUUAAUAAUUUCAUAAACCAUUUAAUGUCAUGAGUAUGAAAGCACACUGCUUUGUAAUGCGCUGCUUGCUCUCUAGUAGUGAACAGGGUUUAAUUCAAGAAUAUGUAUAAUACCAGAUAAAGGCCAGUAUUGACAACAUAAAUAUGUCAGUGGAGUGGUUUUUUUUAAAUAUAAAGAACACUGUAGUGUUACAAAUUAGGAAACUGAGUCCCUCCUCUCCCUAUGGUAAAAAGGUAAUACUUUACUUUUAUCCCAUGCAGAAAAAAAAAAAUCACUAACUCAAAAGUAACAGGUGUAAUACGGCUACCCAUUUAACGUCUUUAUAGCUGGUGUAGACAGAGCUACUGGCUUCUACUAACCUAGGGGUACAAUAAAUAUCUGGUGUGAUGAAAACUGCUACUAAGGUAUGGUUUGCUCACCUCUUCCCACCCAUUUGUUUUUAUAUUUUCCGAGCUUAGUUAUGUAUUGGAUUUUUUUUUCUUAGUUUUUUAAGGUUUGUAAGACUUGCCUUUGUAAGUUCUUGUGAGCAUUUUUAUACUCUAAAAUCCUGUUUGGUUAGUUUUUCAUUCAAAGCUCCUCUGUAAACCUGCUCUGCUUUGUUUGUAUUAACUGUUCUGUACUUUGUUAUACAUUCCUAACUUUCAUAAACUAAUACAAAAGUUUGUCUUUGUGUGAUGGGUCUUAUUCCAGAAAAAUACAGGAAUGUAAAAGCAUAAAAAGAAUGUUCCUAAUUUGGAGACGGAUAUGGG